rnacentral:rRNA from 1 species
AGUGAGCGCUGGCGGUAGGCCUAACACAUGCAAGUCGAACGGCAGCACCGUAAGAGCUUGCUCUUACGGGUGGCGAGUGGCGGACGGGUGCGGAAUACAUCGGAAUCUACUUUUUCGUGGGGGAUAACGUAGGGAAACUUACGCUAAUACCGCAUACGACCUACGGGUGAAUGCAGGGGAUCUUCGGACCUUUCGCGAUUGAAUGAGCCGAUGUCGGAUUAGCUAGUUGGCGGUGUAAAGGCCCACCAAGGCGACGAUCCGUAGCUGGUCUGAGAGGAUGAUCAGCCACACUGGAACUGAGACACGGUCCAGACUCCUACGGGAGGCAGCAGUGGGGAAUAUUGGACAAUGGGCGCAAGCCUGAUCCGGCCAUACCGCGUGGGUGAAGAAGGCCUUCGGGUUGUAAAGCCCUUUUGUUGGGAAAGAAAAGCAGCAGGUUAAUACCCCGCUGUUCUGACGGUACCCAAAGAAUAAGCACCGGCUAACUUCGUG